rnacentral:rRNA from 1 species
UGCAGUCGAACGAUAGAUAGAAGCUUGCUUUUAUCGAAAGUGGCGCACGGGUGCGUAACGCGUAUGCAACCUACCUUAAUCUGGGGGAUAGCCCGGAGAAAUCCGGAUUAACACCGCAUAAAAACACAGGAUAGCAUUAUCCAAUGUUCAAAUAUUUAUAGGAUUGAGAUGGGCAUGCGUGUCAUUAGCUAGUUGGCGGGGUAACGGCCCACCAAGGCGACGAUGACUAGGGGAUCUGAGAGGAUGGCCCCCCACACUGGUACUGAGACACGGACCAGACUCCUACGGGAGGCAGCAGUAAGGAAUAUUGGUCAAUGGAGGGCAACUCUGAACCAGCCAUGCCGCGUGGCAGGAAGACUGCCCUAUGGGUUGUAAACUGCUUUUAUCCGGGAAUAAACCUGCUUACGUGUAAGUAGCUGAAUGUACCCGGAAGAAUAAGGAUCGGCUAACUCCGUGCCCAGCAGCCGCGGUAAUACGGAGGAUCCAAGCGUUAUCCGGAUUUAUUGGGUUUAAAGGGUGCGUAGGCGGCCUGUUAAAGUCAGGGGUGAAAAGACGGUAGCUCAACUAUCGCAGUGCCCUUGAUACUGAUGGGCUUGAAUGGACUAGAGGUAGGCGGAAUGAGACAAGUAGCGGUGAAAUGCAUAGAUAUGUCUCAGAACACCGAUUGCGAAGGCAGCUUACUAUGGUCUUAUUGACGCUGAGGCACGAAAGCGUGGGGAUCAAACAGGAUUAGAUACCCUGGUAGUCCACGCCCUAAACGAUGAACACUCGCUGUUGGCGAUACACAGUCAGCGGCUAAGCGAAAGCGUUAAGUGUUCCACCUGGGGGAGUACGCCCGCAAGGGUGAAACUCAAAGGAAUUGACGGGGGCCCGCACAAGCGGAGGAGCAUGUGGUUUAAUUCGAUGAUACGCGAGGAACCUUACCCGGGCUUGAAAGUUAGUGAAUGAUCUAGAGAUAGAUCAGUCCGCAAGGACACGAAACUAGGUGCUGCAUGGCUGUCGUCAGCUCGUGCCGUGAGGUGUUGGGUUAAGUCCCGCAACGAGCGCAACCCCUAUGUUUAGUUGCCAGCACGUUAUGGUGGGGACUCUAAACAGACUGCCUGUGCAAACAGAGAGGAAGGAGGGGACGACGUCAAGUCAUCAUGGCCCUUACGUCCGGGGCUACACACGUGCUACAAUGGAUGGUACAGAGGGCAGCUACAUAGCAAUAUGAUGCGAAUCUCACAAAGCCAUUCACAGUUCGGAUUGGGGUCUGCAACUCGACCCCAUGAAGUUGGAUUCGCUAGUAAUCGCGUAUCAGCAAUGACGCGGUGAAUACGUUCCCGGGCCUUGUACACACCGCCCGUCAAGCCAUGGAAGCUGGGGGUACCUAAAGUAUGUAACCGCAAGGAGCGUC